rnacentral:tRNA from 1 species
UUAAUUGAAACCAAAAUAGAGGUAAAUUAUUGUUAAUAAUUAUAAUGAUUAUAAAAUCCAAUUAAA